UUCAUCAGAGAUCUGAAUGAGCAUGGCCU
rnacentral:piRNA from 1 species